rnacentral:rRNA from 1 species
GGCCUAACACAUGCAAGUCGAGCGGCAGCGGAGAGUACCUUGCUACUUUGCCGGCGAGCGGCGGACGGGUGAGUAAUGUCUGGGAAACUGCCUGAUGGAGGGGGAUAACUACUGGAAACGGUAGCUAAUACCGCAUAACGUCGCAAGACCAAAGAGGGGGACCUUCGGGCCUCUUGCCAUCAGAUGUGCCCAGAUGGGAUUAGCUAGUAGGUGGGGUAACGGCUCACCUAGGCGACGAUCCCUAGCUGGUCUGAGAGGAUGACCAGCCACACUGGAACUGAGACACGGUCCAGACUCCUACGGGAGGCAGCAGUGGGGAAUAUUGCACAGUGGGCGCAAGCCUGAUGCACCCAUGCCGCGUGUAUGAAGAAGGCCUUCGGGUUGUAAAGUACUUUCAGCGGGGAGGAAGGCGAUAAGGUUAAUAACCUUGUCGAUUGACGUUACCCGCAAAAGAAGCACCGGCUAACUCCGUGCCAGCAGCCGCGGUAAUACGGAGGGUGCAAGCGUUAAUCGGAAUUACUGGGCGUAAAGCGCACGCAGGCGGUCUGUCAAGUCAGAUGUGAAAUCCCCGGGCUCAACCUGGGAACUGCAUUCGAAACUGGCAGGCUAGAGUCUUGUAGAGGGGGGUAGAAUUCCAGGUGUAGCGGUGAAAUGCGUAGAGAUCUGGAGGAAUACCGGUGGCGAAGGCGGCCCCCUGGACAAAGACUGACGCUCAUGUGCGAAAGCGUGGGGAGCAAACAGGAUUAUAUACCCUGGUAGUCCACGCCGUACACGAUGUCGACUUGGAGGUUGUGCCCUUGAGGCGUGUCUUCCGGAGCUAACGCGUUAACUCGACCGCCUGGGGAGUACGGCCGCA